CUGAGUUUGGCCAAUGAUGAAAGAGUGAUGAACAUACAUCAAAUAUUCAAACUGGGAAUGGAGAUCAAGAGACAAGAAAAGAAAGUUGCGAAGCGAGGAAAUGCCUUCUGUGCACUCAACUC